UACGUAGGUGGCAAGCGUUGUCCGGAUUUACUGGGCGUAAAGGGUGCGUAGGUGGAUAUUUAAGUCAGAUGUGAAACCCCUGGGCUCAACUCAGGGACUGCAUUUGAAACUGGAUAUCUGGAGUGCAGGAGAGGUAAGUGGAAUUCCUAGUGUAGCGGUGAAAUGCGUAGAGAUUAGGAAGAACACCAGUGGCGAAGGCGACUUACUGGACUGUAACUGACACUGAGGCACGAAAGCGUGGGUAGCAAACAGG
rnacentral:rRNA from 2 species